rnacentral:rRNA from 1 species
GAUGAUGGGUAGCCGGCCUGAGAGGGUGAUCGGCCACAAGGGGACUGAGACACGGCCCUUACUCCUACGGGAGGCAGCAGUGGGGAAUAUUGGACAAUGGACCAAGAGUCUGAUCCAGCAAUUCUGUGUGCACGAUGAAGUUUUUCGGAAUGUAAAGUGCUUUCAGUUGGGAAGAAAGAAAUGACGGUACCAACAGAAGAAGUGACGGCUAAAUACGUGCCAGCAGCCGCGGUAAUACGUAUGUCACGAGCGUUAUCCGGAUUUAUUGGGCGUAAAGCGCGUCUAGGUGGUUAUAUAAGUCUGAUGUGAAAAUGCAGGGCUCAACUCUGUAUUGCGUUGGAAACUGUGUAACUAGAGUACUGGAGAGGUAAGCGGAACUACAAGUGUAGAGGUGAAAUUCGUAGAUAUUUGUAGGAGUGCCGAUGGGGAAGCCAGCUUACUGGACAGAUACUGACGCUGAAGCGCGAAAGCGUGGGUAGCAAACAGGAUUAGAUACCCUGGUAGUCCACGCCGUAAACGAUGAUUACUAGGUGUUGGGGGUCGAACCUCAGCGCCCAAGCAAACGCGAUAAGUAUCCGCCUGGGAGUACGUACGCAAGUAU